UUAAGCAGUGUGAUAAAACAUUUUCAGUGAUAUCCACCUUUAUCUCUCACAUAUCAAGAAAACAUAAACACUCAACAGAGGUAAACCUAAGUGAAUCCAUUGUUGCCACAUCACUUGUGACUGAAGCUAUUGACAGUGAUAUGAUGACAGAAGAAUAUACUGCCAUAGUUGGAAAUAGUGAGAAUUUGGAGGUUAGUCCAGAAAAUAUCGAUGAGACUUUAUUUUUAAAGAAUCUUGCUCUCUUUUAUCUGAAAUUACAGUGUAAGUUGUUGCUUCCAUCUUUAGUCAUUCAGACUAUCAUUUAAGACAUGCAGUCAGCAACAAACCCACCUAUGCAGAUGUCAGGGCUGUCAUUUCUCUGUGGCCAGACCUCGAGCUUUCCUUCUGCAUCAUCCAACUUCUCAUGGCUCACUUCUCUGAGACUCAGGAAGGGCUGAUCCUUUUUGCAAAUGCAUCUUCCACUGCAGCUGAUAUAGAAAGGACGCUUGAACUACCUGCAACUCCUCGACUGAUACUCCUUGGAUCAGCGCACCUGCCUCGCUUCCCGACCGGCAACGUAGAGAAGCGUCUCCGGAAUAUUAAUUGUUUCCGGACUACACCUCCCAGCAUCCAUCACGAAGACUGAUUGCUGUGCCACCUGUUUCCUAUCAGCCAGCGUGUAUAAAUACGAACUUGACCUCAGUGCCAAGUCUUGACUUGCAUUAGCAGUCAUUCUGAGCGUUUCCAGUCUGUCUUGGUUCCGGUUUUGACUUUUUUGAGUUUCUGUGUUUGAUUCUCUGGUUGUUUGCUGCCUGCCCUGACCUCCUGCCUGUUCUUUCGUUUCUGAUUGUGCCUGUCCUACGAUAUCGUGUUUGCCGUGUUUGACCCUGGCUGUCUGUUUUCGAGUUUUGAAUAAA